rnacentral:ncRNA from 1 species
AAGGUAGAGGCGCAGGGUUCAAGAGUAUUUUCGGAUGUACGGAGAGUGCCGGUUCGGAAAGAAAGGGAAGACUGCCGAAGGAAUUUUCGCUGCACUCAAAGCAAAAUUCCUGGGAUACAGCAGAAGAUGCUGUGUACUGUCACGAAAUGUGGAGCGCUAUCG